rnacentral:rRNA from 1 species
GGAUGAACGCUGGCGGCGUGCCUAAUACAUGCAAGUCGAGCGAACAGACGAGGAGCUUGCUCCUCUGACGUUAGCGGCGGACGGGUGAGUAACACGUGGAUAACCUACCUAUAAGACUGGGAUAACUUCGGGAAACCGGAGCUAAUACCGGAUAAUAUAUUGAACCGCAUGGUUCAAUAGUGAAAGACGGUUUUGCUGUCACUUAUAGAUGGAUCCGCGCCGCAUUAGCUAGUUGGUAAGGUAACGGCUUACCAAGGCGACGAUGCGUAGCCGACCUGAGAGGGUGAUCGGCCACACUGGAACUGAGACACGGUCCAGACUCCUACGGGAGGCAGCAGUAGGGAAUCUUCCGCAAUGGGCGAAAGCCUGACGGAGCAACGCCGCGUGAGUGAUGAAGGUCUUCGGAUCGUAAAACUCUGUUAUUAGGGAAGAACAAAUGUGUAAGUAACUAUGCACGUCUUGACGGUACCGAAUCAGAAAGCCACGGCUAACUACGUG